CAAAUCAGAAUUGAAUAGUACAAACACAAACACCACUACAAAUGAGAUCGUCAAACUUUGGCCCUGCUUUCUUCUGAGAAUAUCAAUGACAAAUUUGACAUCUAACAACAGCUGCAAAACUCUUUUUUCUGUCACUUGAUGAGAACGAUCCACUUCAUCGAAAAAGGAAGGCCUAUAAAAUUCAAACUACCUGUAUAAUAAAAUAUAGUCAUUGCAUAUACAAUGAACAAGAAAUAAAGUACAUAGGCAUUUGCUGCAUAAAGGGCCUCAUUGGAACUGAAUAUUUCUAUUUUUCAGUUCUCUUUAGCCACUUGAUCAUAAUUCAUUCUUGUGUUUCAAUAGCUCAUAUGCCCAAGUUUAGUAACCUAGUUCUAAUGUACACACCCCUUCUACUGUGCUACCACCUACCCACACCUUAUUUUUCAAAGACGGGUGAAUUGAAACUUAGAAUUAUUCCUAACUAAACAAGAAACCAAAUUAAAUUACUAGCUAACAGAGAACAUGUUAAAUCAUAACCACCUAACACAAAUCAUAAACCACAAAAACCACACAACAUAGAAAAUUAGGAUAUAAAAAUUGGUAAUGGUGAAUAGAAGUAUGAAUUUGAUACCUUACAAAGAUCGCGCAAUUGAGCGGAAUCAAAAAAAGAGUGGGCCAAAGUCAGACCUGUAACAGAAAGAAAAAGUGAAGAAAAUGCAACUAUUAAACAAAAAUAAAUGGAAUGUAGAAAAACUAGAAUGAGUUUCAGCCUAUUACAAGUUUCAGCUGGAACACAAGCUACAUAGAAAAUAAAAUGACAUUUUUUUUAAAUUUGAAAGUAAUAGAUAAAAAUAGAUGAACAUGAAUAUACUUCGAGUCCAAUGAGGAAUGAGACUAUUCCACUGACCAACUAAACCCGUAAGGGAAACAUAGAUAAAAAUAUAGUGUGACUAAUAAUGCAAAUUUUCCCUUAAAAUUUAUGUGUUUUGCAUUGUUUUGAUAAUAUAACAAUUCUAGCGAAGUGAUCGUUCGCACACUGUUUUGCUGCAACUUAAAUACAUUUUAUUACUACUUCUUUCUCAGAUGUGAUGUAUUAUUAUAGGGAACAAGGUACAAUUUUGUUGCUAAUUGCUUUGAAAUAGAAUUCAAGAGUAUGAAACACAAAAGUGAACACAAGUAUAGAGAGAUGAUUGAGAAGCUCACCGCAAGAGAGCAGCAAAGCCUCUCAGAUUCAAUCAGGAGGGAUAGACAAUUGAGAGUCAGAUACAUAUAAAUUUGCUAUCCAUAAAUAGAUAUUCAGUCCUUUAAAGAAAAACUCUUUGAACCCAAACGCAAGCUCUUCAAAUCUUUUAUAUGUAUCUCUGAUCCUCUUCAUUUCCCUUAUAUGCUAUGCUCAGCUGUCAUCACCAGUAACACAAAUGGACUGAUCUACCCCUAAUGAAUACAUAUUGAAGUUAUGUCAUCAAAUUAAAGCAAGAUUUUUAAAGUGGUGUAUCAAUUUUUUUAUCGCAGUCAAAGCCAUCAUUUACAAUAACAGGCAGAGCAUUUUUAUUAAAUACAUCGAAGCUCAAAUUUGAAAAGAAGGUUCAGAAAACACUCUCUCCGGAUACUCAGCUUUUUGUUUAUUUGAUAAGUUAAUGUAUAUGGCAAACAAAAUGAGAAUUUCAAAUUAGCAAAUGAAUUACAAGAAUGUAAUAUCACAUAUAAUGAUGCAAUAUAAAAGCAAUACUAUCUCAUACCUCUUCUGAAGUUUGAAACAAAACAUGCUCCAAUGCUGCUAUCACUUGUAUUUAAGUAAGAUAGCAGUACUAUCUCAUACCUCCAAUGCUGCUAUCUCAUACCAAUUUUUGGGUAAUACAAGAAAAGGACACAAAAUAGUGAUAUUAAAUUUAAGCACGUAAUCUACCUAACACCAUACCUGCAACAAUAGAGUACUCUUCCCAACGCCGUAAUCACCACUAAUCAAAUUUAUUUCAAGUUUUAUAACAAGCUCCUGGGGCAAUACAUUCAUAAUCCACAAGCCAAUUUUCCAUUAUAAAAACAUUGAUCAUAAUCUAUAAGACAUUCUUAAUUCAUAUAUAGAAACAUGUCAAGUUUC
rnacentral:lncRNA from 1 species